AGUGAAUUGUGGGUGUAGGGUCUGAUAAACUCAGAGAUUUUGUGUUAUUAUCUGCUUCAUCUCUUGCACAUUCCACGGGAUUGAAGUUAAAUGACAACACCAUAUUC